GAGAGAGCCUACCUGCAGGGGCUGAAUGGAUCAUCCAUGACUAACAGAGGCUCUGGGUCUUCAAGAGGAAACAAGAUCAAAAGGUCCACGGAGAGGAAUGACCACACAUACGGCGAGUGACCAGAAACCGCAGUGCACUUCUAAACGUGCCAGUAGCUUCCGAGGGGAAACCACCCCACGAAUCUCGUCUGGAAAACUUUGUAAACGUUUGGGAAAAGGCCGCACAAACGAUCCUGGCAAAGCUGUGGAGUCCUGGGUAUCGUCACAGCUACAAACACAGUGUAGACAGGAGAGCAAGCGGGGUAGCCGAAGCAUGCUGCGUUUUGUGCAAAGAGCCUAAUCUCCCUUCAACAGGCCGCUCUAAAAUUGCCUAAAUAACAAAUAAAAACGUUUCCCGAAGAGAUACGAACCCAGUCGGGCAUGUCUCGCUUGCAGAAUGGACUUGUAACACUAAGAAGGGUAGGAAAGUUCAAACCAAGAGGGCAAAGGACACCUGGCCACAAACACUCGAGCGUCUAAAAAUCUCAUUGGAGGUCUCCCGAUUCAAAAUUCUAGGCAAUGGUUUACAGCAUUGCCCAUGAAGCUAAAUUCAUUUGCAAUUUAAUCAGAAAAGAUUUCCCAAGCCACAUCAACAAGGCCACACCAUCCUCGUCAUACUGAGCAACGUAUCCGUAUCGUCCACAGUACCGGCCAAGACAUUUUCUGUUAAAAUCUUUAAAAACACGUUUUGUGCCCUCUCCCCACAACCUCCACCUCCAGCACAAAGGCAAACUGGGCUGUCAGCCACGUAAGAUAUUCUGGCUCUGGAGGUAAACGCAAGCUUAGUGUCCAUUUGCAAACUAAGAGAUGAUUCUAUGUAUGAUUACUCAGUUAUGAUAAAAAAAAAAAAAAAA